rnacentral:rRNA from 1 species
GGCGAACGGGUGAGUAACACGUGAGCAACCUGCCCUUGACUUUGGGAUAACUUCAGGAAACUGGGGCUAAUACCGGAUAGGAGCUCCUGCUGCAUGGUGGGGGUUGGAAAGUUUCGGCGGUUGGGGAUGGACUCGCGGCUUAUCAGCUUGUUGGUGGGGUAGUGGCUUACCAAGGCUUUGACGGGUAGCCGGCCUGAGAGGGUGACCGGCCACAUUGGGACUGAGAUACGGCCCAG